rnacentral:rRNA from 1 species
UACGUAGGGUGCGAGCGUUGUCCGGAAUUAUUGGGCGUAAAGAGCUCGUAGGCGGUCCGUCACGUCGGAUGUGAAAUUCCAGGGCUCAACCCUGGACCUGCAUUCGAUACGGGCGGACUAGAGUUCGGUAGGGGAGACUGGAAUUCCUGGUGUAGCGGUGAAAUGCGCAGAUAUCAGGAGGAACACCCGUAGCGAAGGCGGCCGACUGGACCACACCUGACGCUGAGGCGCGAAGGCCAGGGGAGCGAACGGG